rnacentral:rRNA from 1 species
AAAUUGAAGAGUUUGAUCAUGGCUCAGAUUGAACGCUGGCGGCAGGCCUAACACAUGCAAGUCGAGCGGAAACGAGUUAUCUGAACCUUCGGGGGACGAUAACGGCGUCGAGCGGCGGACGGGUGAGUAAUGCCUAGGAAAUUGCCCUGAUGUGGGGGAUAACCAUUGGAAACGAUGGCUAAUACCGCAUGAUGCCUACGGGCCAAAGAGGGGGACCUUCGGGCCUCUCGCGUCAGGAUAUGCCUAGGUGGGAUUAGCUAGUUGGUGAGGUAAGGGCU